rnacentral:rRNA from 1 species
AUGGGAACGCGAAGAACCUUACCUAGACUUGACAUCUCCUGAAUAGUGUAGAGAUACAUGAAGCCCUUCGGGGCAGGAAGACAGGUGGUGCAUGGUUGUCGUCAGCUCGUGUCGUGAGAUGUUGGGUUAAGUCCCGCAACGAGCGCAACCCCUAUUAUUAGUUGCUAACAUUAAGUUGAGCACCCUACGUGAGACUGCCCGGGUUAACCCGGGGAGGAAGGUGGGGAGUGACGUCAAAUACAUCAUGCCCCUUACUGUCUAGGGCUACACACGUGCUACAAUGGUGGGAACAAAGAGAUGCAAUACCGCAAGGUGGAGCUAAACUCAAAACCCCGUCCCAGUUCGGAUUGUAGGCUGAAACUCGCCUACAUGAAGCUGGAGUUGCUAGUAAGUCGCGAAUCAGAAUGUCGCGGUGAAUACGUUCCCGGGUC